UGCCCAGAUCUAAGGAAUAGCCACUGGAAACGGUGAGUAAUACCUUAUACGCCCUUCGGGGAAAGAUUUAUCGGAUUUGGAUCGGCCCGCGUUAGAUUAGGUAGUUGGUGGGGUAACGGCCUACCAAGCCUACGAUCUAUAGCUGGUUUUAGAGGAUGAUCAGCAACACUGGGACUGAGACACGGCCCAGACUCCUACGGGAGGCAGCAGUGGGGAAUCUUAGACAAUGGGCGCAAGUGAUCUAGCCAUGCCGCGUGAGUGACGAAGGCCUUAGGGUCGUAAAGCUCUUUCGCCAGGGAUGAUAAUGACAGUACCUGGUAAAGAAACCCCGGCUAACUCCGUGCCAGCAGCCGCGGUAAUACGGAGGGGGUUAGCGUUGUUCGGAAUUACUGGGCGUAAAGCGCGCGUAGGGGAUUGGAAAGUUGGGGGUGAAAUCCCGGGGCUCAACCCCGAACUGCCUCCAAAACUAUCAGUCUAGAGUUCGAGAGAGGUGAGUGGAAUUCCAAGUGUAGAGGUGAAAUUCGUAGAUAUUUGGAGGAACACCAGUGGCGAAGGGGCUCACUGGCUCGAUACUGACGCUGAGGUGCGAAAGUGUGGGGAGCAAACAGGAUUAGAUACCCUGGUAGUCCACACCGUAAACGAUGAAUGCCAGUCGUCGGGUAGUAUACUAUUCGGUGACACACCUAACGGAUUAAGCAUUCCGCCUGGGGAGUACGGUCGCAAGAUUAAAACUCAAAGGAAUUGACGGGGG
rnacentral:rRNA from 1 species